CCUCUCGCUGGGGCAGCCCGAGUCGGCGCCCUGCACCAGUUUCUCCACAGCCUGAGGACAAGCGCCACAAAACUCAAGUUUAGGGGCGACCCUCAGGCAGGAGCCAGGAAGUGGAAAAGAAAGCUGGGGGAAGGGAGGCGACUCGUUUCUUUCCACAUCUGAGAGCGGGACAUUGUUCGGAAGCACUGGUCCGUGACGCACUUUCCAAAAAGUUCAGCAAAGGCAGCAAUCCGAAUGUUUACAGUGUUUACCUUAUAGCAGAGCGUGGCUAAAUUGGAGGGGGACUCCUCUCGUAGAGCCCUGAUCUCGGCAGCUGGAACCAGUGCAAAGACAUCCUGGACUGUGGUGGUGCUGUCCGCCCAGAAUUGGUCCCAGAAGGCAUCAUCUGUGGCUUCCACCGGCUGUAAAACAUGCAUAAAUGUUCAAGAAAAAUGUAGAAAUCGAUGCGGCAUUGCUUGCAGUACAUCGGAAGCAUCAUUGUGUGAGUCUAUUGUGUCGCCUGCUCAGUGAGUGAUGACGACAAUGUAAACAGCAUGCACCUGCUGCCGCAUCCAUGUCAACACCAUGCAGCUUUGAUUUAGCCAUCAUUUUGUAAAAACAUUUUUUUUGGUAUGACAGCUAUGACAUAUGUGCAUCCUGCUAACGUGGCGUCUUUCCAUUUCGGCGACUGCGAUCACGAAGAAACGCCGAAUGAUUAUUUAACAUGGUUAAAUGCAGCAAGAGGACUGACUGCUGUGAACGCGCCGUCUGAUUAUCGUCGCUUACAUUUGCAACAAUAGGAUCUAACCUGCGUUUUGGUUGUCAGCUGAAUUACUGCUUUCCUGAAGCUCAGUUUUGAAUCGGUACUCCCCAUUGUUGAAUUUCUAUAUUUUAAUCAAUUAUAUAACAAGAGUGGCGCCGAUGCCGCUGAGGGUUCUUGUUAAUCUCCCCUCCGUCCUUUGGCUUGAGUCAUAGGAGAAAGGGGCGGGGUUCUGUUUCGCUGUGUUUUCACGCCAUUGGUUAUUCACUUCCUGGUUUUGACUGACGUCAAAAAGAGAAUUGUUUUGAGAUGUUCACUCAUUUGCAAUAAAUGUUAACGGCAGUA